rnacentral:lncRNA from 1 species
AUUGGUCAUUUGGAAGUGUCCCCAAGUGCCACAGUUAUGACAUCACAGACAAGAGACAUAGAACAUUAGACUGUAUCUCGGGAAGAUCACUAGUGUGGCUAGGGCACGUGCAUCAGUCAAGCUCUAUCAUCCUGACUGAUGCCUUCUCUCUCAUGUCCUAGCAGAGGGGUGCUUGGAGUCAUGGUGCCAGCUGGAAGCCCCAGAAUGUGAAAUACAAAAAGUCAAAUAACUGUUUUAAUGGUUUCAGUUCCAAAUUGGGUCUCUGAGAGGGAGAGGAAGCCAGAGAGACAUUCUGAGGACAA